AGUUGCUGUUUUCUGCUGUUAUGUAACGUACUUCUCUUUAGGAAGUUUGGUUCUCUUUUCAAAGUCUGUUUUUCUUUUUUUUUUAUUUAGGGGGUAUAACAUGUAUUCUUUCACUAAUCUGUGCCUUGGCUCUUGCCUACUUGGAUCAGAGAGCAGAGAGAAUCCUUCAUAAAGAACAAGGAAAAACAGGUGAAGUUAUUAAAUUAACUGAUGUGAAGGACUUCUCCUUACCCCUGUGGCUCCUAUUUAUCAUCUGUGUCUGCUAUUAUGUUGCUGUGUUCCCUUUUAUUGGACUUGGGAAAGUUUUCUUUACAGAGAAAUUUGGAUUUUCUUCCCAGGCAGCAAGUGCAAUUAACAGUGUUGUAUAUGUCAUAUCAGCUCCCAUGUCCCCGGUGUUUGGGCUCCUGGUGGAUAAAACAGGGAAGAACAUCAUCUGGGUUCUUUGCGCGGUAGCAGCCACUCUUGUGUCCCACAUGAUGCUGGCCUUUACAAUGUGGAACCCUUGGAUUGCUAUGUGUCUUCUGGGACUCUCCUAUUCAUUGCUUGCCUGUGCAUUGUGGCCAAUGGUGGCAUUUGUAGUUCCUGAACAUCAGCUGGGAACUGCAUAUGGCUUCAUGCAGUCCAUUCAGAAUCUUGGGCUGGCCAUCAUUUCCAUCAUUGCUGGUAUGAUACUGGAUUCUCGGGGGUAUUUGUUUUUAGAAGUGUUCUUCAUUGCCUGUGUUUCUUUGUCACUUUUAUCUGUGGUCUUACUCUAUUUGGUGAAUCGUGCCCAGGGUGGGAACCUAAAUUAUUCUGCAAGACAAAGAGAAGAAAUAAAAUUUUCCCAUACUGAAUGAGAAGUUAAAAUGAAUGUGUCAUGAGAAUGGGCUUAACACAUCGUUGGUUUGAAAACCUCCAUUUUUAGAAAUUAAGAGUUUAGUCAUUAGAAAAAAUAAUGGACUGGAAAGUUAUAUUUAUAUCCAAAUAUACCUAUUUCAAAGUGUAUUUGUGAGGCCUGUUUUAGCCUGUGUCUUUUGU
rnacentral:sRNA from 1 species